rnacentral:rRNA from 1 species
GAACGCUGGCGGCGUGCUUAACACAUGCAAGUCGAACGGAAAGGCCCUUCGGGGUACUCGAGUGGCGAACGGGUGAGUAACACGUGGGUGAUCUGCCCUGCACUUUGGGAUAAGCCUGGGAAACUGGGUCUAAUACCGAAUAGGACCACGCGCUUCAUGGUGUGUGGUGGAAAGCUUUUGCGGUGUGGGAUGGGCCCGCGGCCUAUCAGCUUGUUGGUGGGGUAAUGGCCUACCAAGGCGACGACGGGUAGCCGGCCUGAGAGGGUGACCGGCCACACUGGGACUGAGAUACGGCCCAGACUCCUACGGGAGGCAGCAGUGGGGAAUAUUGCACAAUGGGCGCAAGCCUGAUGCAGCGACGCCGCGUGAGGGAUGACGGCCUUCGGGUUGUAAACCUCUUUCAAUAGGGACGAAGCGCAAGUGACGGUACCUAUAGAAGAAGCACCGGCCAACUACGUGCCAGCAGCCGCGGUAAUACGUAGGGUGCGAGCGUUGUCCGGAAUUACUGGGCGUAAAGAGCUCGUAGGUGGUUUGUCGCGUUGUUCGUGAAAACUCACAGCUUAACUGUGGGCGUGCGGGCGAUACGGGCAGACUAGAGUACUGCAGGGGAGACUGGAAUUCCUGGUGUAGCGGUGGAAUGCGCAGAUAUCAGGAGGAACACCGGUGGCGAAGGCGGGUCUCUGGGCAGUAACUGACGCUGAGGAGCGAAAGCGUGGGGAGCGAACAGGAUUAGAUACCCUGGUAGUCCACGCCGUAAA